GCGGCGCGCGCUUCUCUCUCUCGGCCGUUGCCGCCGCCAUCUUGCGGGCGCUCGGUGUCCGCCUCCAUCCGCCUCCAUCCGCCGCCCGCGCCGCCGCCCGCCCGCGCGGACUGAGCGCGGCGCCCCCGCGCCGCUAUGAGGGCCAAGUGGCGAAAGAAGCGUAUGCGCAGGCUGAAGCGCAAGAGAAGGAAGAUGAGGCAGAGGUCCAAGUAGGCGCUUUGGUAGCGCUGCCGCGGCAGCUGCAGAGCGGAGUAGCCCUGGGACGCGGGGCGGCGCCUGUCCCCGCUGGUGCCGCGGGCGCGGGAGAUCGGCGUGGCCGGGCGGCCCCAGCCCAGGUGUUCUGGACUGAUUCCUGUCUUUGCAGCUGCGCGCUGCCCCUGUACCAUAAAUAAAGCCUGGUUCGGUGGCA